AAAUAAGAAGUAAAAUUUUACAUUUAGUUUCGACCUAAAAAUUUGGUAUAUUAUACCCUUAUUUA
rnacentral:tRNA from 1 species